rnacentral:rRNA from 1 species
AGCAGCCGCGGUAAUUCCAGCUCCAAUGGCGUAUAUUAAAGUUGUUGCAGUUAAAAAGCUCGUAGUUGAAUUUCGGGAUCAAAUUGUUGGUCGUGCCUCGGUACGUACUGGCAUUAUUGAUUUUCUCCCUUCUGAAGAACCACGAUGUCAUUAAUUUGGUGUCGUGGGGAAUCAGGACUGUUACUUUGAAAAAUUAGAGUGUUUAAAGCAGGCUAACGCUUGAAUACAUUAGCAUGGAAUAACGAAAUAGGACGUUUGAUUCUAUUUUGUUGGUUUCUAGGAUCGACGUAAUGAUUAAUAGGGAUAGUUGGGGGCAUUAGUAUUCAAUUGUCAGAGGUGAAAUUCUUGGAUUUAUUGAAGACUAACUACUGCGAAAGCAUUUGCCAAGGAUGUUUUCAUUAAUCAAGAACGAAAGUUAGGGGAUCGAAGACGAUCAGAUACCGUCGUAGU